rnacentral:tRNA from 1 species
UAUAUUUUAGUGUGAGGAAGCACACUAAUUUUUUGAUGAUGAUUAGAUAUAGUUGUGAUUCUAUAAAAUAUAA